rnacentral:tRNA from 1 species
CCUUAAGAUGACGAAGUUGUUGAGUGUUCACACAGAUUGCCUUGAUUCAAAGUAGUUAGAGCAAAGACCUGGUGCGAAAGCAUCAGUGCUUGUUUGGCUAACGCCAAACGAGAGAAGCCCUAUCAUUGGGUUUUGGGAUGUGAAUAAUGGCGCUCGGCCUUGCAGGCUCGGCACUCGCCAUUACCCAAAAUCUGCACUGCUAACGCAGCGCAAAGAUGAUUUUGGGUCCCCUUCGUCUAGAGGCCUAGGACACCGCCCUUUCACGGCGGUAACAGGGGUUCGAAUCCCCUAGGGGGCGCCACUUCUCUUCUUGCUAACAAGAAUGCAGAGUUAAGAAACUGAUUCUUAACUCUGUUUUCUUCGGCCUUGCGCCGUUGCAAACAUGCUCUUUAACAAUCUGGAAAGCUGAUUUAAAAAGUAGUUCUCAAACAUUUGUUACAAGUGCUUUGGAAACUUCUUGGCGAAAACCAAAUUUUAUUUGGUCCUUGUUGUACGACAACAAGCUGUGCCGGUUUCACCGACACUUCUUGGGGUUGUAU